rnacentral:rRNA from 1 species
GACGUAGGGCGCAAGCGUUGUCCGGAUUUAUUGGGCGUAAAGAGCUCGUAGGCGGCCUGUCGCGUCGACCGUGAAAACCCGCAGCUCAACUGCGGGCUUGCGGUCGAUACGGGCAGGCUGGAGUUCGGUAGGGGAGACUGGAAUUCCUGGUGUAGCGGUGAAAUGCGUAGAUAUCUGGAGGAACACCGGUGGCGAAAGCGGCCCUCUGGCACGAUACUGACGCUGAGGCUCGAAAGCGUGGGGAGCAAACGGG